rnacentral:rRNA from 1 species
UACGAAGGGGGCGAGCGUUGUUCGGAUUUACUGGGCGUAAAGGGCGCGUAGGCGGCCAGCACAAGUCAGUUGUGAAAUCUCCGGGCUUAACUCGGAAAGGUCAACUGAUACUGUGCGGCUAGAGUGCAGAAGGGGCAACUGGAAUUCUCGGUGUAGCGGUGAAAUGCGUAGAUAUCGUAAGGAAGACCAGUGGCGAAGGCGGGUCUCUGGACAGUUCCUGACGCUGAGGCACGAAGGCCAGGGGAGCAAACGGG